GAUGAACGCUGGCGGCGCGCCUAACACAUGCAAGUCGAACGAUUAAAGCACCUUCGGGUGUGUAUAAAGUGGCGAACGGCUGAGUAACACGUGGGCAACCUGCCCCUUUCAUUGGGAUAGCCACGGGAAACCGUGGAUAAUACCGAAUACUUCGAGACUUCCGCAUGGAAGACUCGAGAAAGCUCCGGCGGAGGGGGAUGGGCCCGCGGCCUGUUAGCUUGUUGGUGGGGUAACGGCCUACCAAGGCAAUGAUGGGUAGCUGGGUUGAGAGACCGACCAGCCAGAUUGGGACUGAGAAACGGCCCAGACUCCUACGGGAGGCAGCAGUGGGGAAUCUUGCAAAAUGGGCGAAAGCCGGAUGCAGCGACGCCGCGUGCGGGAUGAAGGCCUGUGGGUUGUAAACCGCUUUAAGCAGGGACGAGGCGAAAGUGACGGUACCUGCAGAAGAAGCCCCGGCUAACUACGUG
rnacentral:rRNA from 1 species